rnacentral:rRNA from 1 species
GAUGAACGCUGGCGGCGCGCCUAAUACAUGCAAGUCGAGCGAACGGACGAGAAGCUUGCUUCUCUGAUGUUAGCGGCGGGCGGGUGAGUAACACGUGGAUAACCUACCUAUAAGACUGGGAUAACUUCGGGAAACCGGAACUAAUACCGGAUGAUAUUUUGAACCGCAUGGUUCAAAAGUGAAAGACGGUCUUGCUGUCACUUAUAGAUGGAUCCGCGCUGCAUUAGCUAGUUGGUAAGGUAACGGCUUACCAAGGCAACGAUGCAUAGCCGACCUGAGAGGGUGAUCGGCCACACUGGAACUGAGACACGGUCCAGACUCCUACGGGAGGCAGCAGUAGGGAAUCUUCCGCAAUGGGCGAAAGCCUGACGGAGCAACGCCGCGUGAGUGAUGAAGGUCUUCGGAUCGUAAAACUCUGUUAUUAGGGAAGAACAUAUGUGUAAGUAACUGUGCACAUCUUGACGGUACCUAAUCAGAAAGCCACGGCUAACUACGUG